UAAAUACUGUAAUUUAUACUUGGCCAUAAAGGUUUUCACUUUCUCACUGAUACUGUUGGCAGCAGUAGGCAGACAGAACAAUAGCAAUGGUACAAAAAAAGUGAUAUUUUCAAUAGCGCUUCCAAAAUACCCUCC